UCCGGUUUGUCACCGGCAGUCUCACUAGAGUGCCCUUUCGUAGCAACUAGUGACAAGGGUUGCGCUCGUUGCGGGACUUAACCCAACAUCUCACGACACGAGCUGACGACAGCCAUGCAGCACCUGUGUUCAGACGCCCUUGCGGGCACACUCUCAUUACAAAAGCUUCUCUGACAUGUCAAGGGUAGGUAAGGUUUUUCGCGUUGCAUCGAAUUAAUCCACAUCAUCCACCGCUUGUGCGGGUCCCCGUCAAUUCCUUUGAGUUUUAGUCUUGCGACCGUACUUCCCAGGCGGUCAACUUCACGCGUUGGCUGCGUUACUGAGGAAUUUAAUCCCCAACAACUAGUUGACAUCGUUUAGGGCGUGGACUAC
rnacentral:misc_RNA from 1 species